UCUCGGCUGGGCACCUGCUCCCCAGGAGGCCGCGGCUGGAGGAAGCCCCGUCGUCCUCACGCUCUCAGGAGUCGGCCAGGUGCCGGUGUCCCCGGCACAGCUUCCACUUCUUCCAAAGGACUCCCAGCCCUGAGGAAAGGGUUCUGACAGAUUCUCCAGAACUGGAGGGUAUUUUGAUGGGUGAGAUUUUUGAUAUCUCUGCUCCAGGUCACUCUCUUAAGAGAGAAAGGAGGAUUUUCCCCACCUGAGAGUUCCCUGUACCAAUGAAAUCAUCCUCUGUUCUAGGAAAAG
rnacentral:lncRNA from 1 species